rnacentral:rRNA from 1 species
UACGAAGGGUGCUAGCGUUGUUCGGAAUCACUGGGCGUAAAGCGCGCGUAGGCGGCCAUUCAAGUCAGGGGUGAAAUGCCGGAGCUUAACUCCGGAACUGCCUUUGAAACUGUAUGGCUCGAGUAUUGGAGGGGAUAGCGGAAUUCCUAAUGUAGCGGUGAAAUGCGUAGAUAUUAGGAGGAACACCGGUGGCGAAGGCGGCUAUCUGGACAAUUACUGACGCUGAGGCGCGAAAGCGUGGGGAUCAAAC